GAGCUCAAAUUUGUAAUCUGGCGGCCUUUGGCUGUCCGAGUUGUAGUCUGGAGAAGCGUUUUCCGCGUCGGACCGUGUACAAGUCCCUUGGAACAGGGCGUCGUAGAGGGUGAGAAUCCCGUCUUUGACACGGACUGCCGAUGCUUUGUGAUGCGCUCUCGAAGAGUCGAGUUGUUUGGGAAUGCAGCUCAAAACGGGUGGUAAAUUCCAUCUAAAGCUAAAUACGGGCGAAAGACCGAUAGCGAACAAGUACCGUGAGGGAAAGAUGAAAAGCACUUUGGAAAGAGAGUUAAACAGUACGUGAAAUUGUUGAAAGGGAAACGCUUGAAGUCAGUCGCGUCUCCUGGGACUCAGCCUUGCUUCUGCUCGGUGUACUUCCUGGGGUUGACGGGCCAGCAUCGAUUUUGACCGUCGGAGAAAGGCCUUGGGAACGUGGCACCCUUUGGGUGUGUUAUAGCCCUCGGUCGUAUGCGACGGUUGGGAUCGAGGACCGCAGCAUGCCUUUUUGGCCGGGGUUCGCCCACGUACGUGCUUAGGAUGCUGGCGUAAUGGCUUUAAGCGACCCGUCUUGAAACACGGACCAAGGAGUCUAACAUGCCUGCGAGUGUUUGGGUGGUAAACCCGGACGCGCAAUGAAAGUGAAAGGUUGGGACCUCUGUCGUGGAGGGCACCGACGCCCGGACCAGACCUUUUGUGACGGUUCCGAGGUAGAGCAUGCAUGCUGGGACCCGAAAGAUGGUGAACUAUGCUUGAGUAGGGUGAAGCCAGAGGAAACUCUGGUGGAGGCUCGUAGCGAUUCUGACGUGCAAAUCGAUCGUCGAACUUGAGUAUAG
rnacentral:rRNA from 1 species